rnacentral:rRNA from 1 species
CGGCGACGGGUGAGUAACACGUAUCCAACCUGCCGUCUACUCUUGGACAGCCUUCUGAAAGGAAGAUUAAUACAAGAUGGCAUCAUGAGUCCGCAUGUUCACAUGAUUAAAGGUAUUCCGGUAGCGAUGGGGAUGCGUUCCAUUAGAUAGUAGGCGGGGUAACGGCCCACCUAGUCUUCGAUGGAUAGGGGUUCUGAGAGGAAGGUCCCCCACAUUGGAACUGAGACACGGUCCAA